ensembl:lncRNA
CUGAGAGACAAUGUGUAACCGUGUUACUGAGAGACAAUGUGAUGCCAUUCUUGUCCUUUCUUUCAUUUAAAAAUGAUUUAUACAGCAAAAUACAUAUAUUUCAAACUAAAUAUUUAUUUUUUACUCAGUACAUAUAUGGUACAUAGAUAUUGUUUUUGUUUCACGUCUAGUAAUCUAUGUUGUAACCUUCUGACAAUAACAUUGUGUGUGAUUUCUCUAUGUGUCUACAAUAUAUGAACAGGGCAGGGUAGCCUGGUGGUUAGAGGGCAGGGUAGGGUCCCUGGUGGUUAGAGGGCAGGGCAGGGUACCCUGGUGGUUAGAGGGCAGGGCAGGGUACCCUGGUGGUUAGAGGGCAGGGCAGGGUACCCUGGUGGUUAGAGGGCAGGGUAGGGUGCCUGGUGGUUAGAGGGCAGGGUAGGGUACCCUGGUGGUUAGAGGGCAGGGCAGGGUAGCCUGGUGGUUAGAGGGCAGCAGGGUAGCCUGGUGGUUAGAGGGCAGGGCAGGGUAGCCUGGUGGUUAGAGGGCAGGGUAGGGUACCCUGGUGGUUAGAGGGCAGGGCAGGGUACCCUGGUGGUUAGGGCAGGGCAGGGUAGCCUGGUGGUUAGAGGGCAGGGUAGGGUACCCUGGUGGUUAGAGGGCAGGGCAGGGUACCCUGGUGGUUAGAGGGCAGGGCAGGGUACCCUGGUGGUUAGAGGGCAGGGUAGGGUACCCUGGUGGUUAGAGGGCAGGGCAGGGUAGCCUGGUGGUUAGAGGGCAGGGUAGGGUGCCCUGGUGGUUAGAGGGCAGGGUAGGGUACCCUGGUGGUUAGAGGGCAGGGCAGGGUAGCCUGGUGGUUAGAGGGCAGGGUAGGGUACCCUGGUGGUUAGAGGGCAGGGCAGGGUAGCCUGGUGGUUAGAGGGCAGGGCAGGGUAGCCUGGUGGUUAGAGGGCAGGGUAGGGUAGCCUGGUGGUUAGAGGGCAGGGUAGGGUAGCCUGGUGGUUAGAGGGCAGGGUAGGGUACCCUGGUGGUUAGAGGCAGGGCAGGGUACCCUGGUGGUUAGAGGGCAGGGCAGGGUAGCCUGGUGGUUAGAGGGCAGGGUAGGGUACCCUGGUGGUUAGAGGGCAGGGCAGGGUAGCCUGGUGGUUAGAGGGCAGGGUAGGGUAGCCUGGUGGUUAGAGGGCAGGGUAGGGUAGCCUGGUGGUUAGAGGGCAGGGUAGGGUAGCCUGGUGGUUAGAGGGCAGGGUAGGGUACCCUGGUGGUUAGAGGGCAGGGCAGGGUACCCUGGUGGUUAGAGGGCAGGGCAGGGUAGCCUAGUGGUUAGAGCGUUGGACUAGUAACCGAAAGGUUUCAUGUUCAAAUCCCCGAGCUGACAAGGUACAAAUCUGUCAUUCUGCCCCUGAACAGGAAGUUAACCCACUGUUCCUAGGCCGUCAUUGAAAAUAAGAAUUUGUUCUUAAACUGACUAGUUAAAUAAAGGUAAAAUAAAUAAAACAUAUGAUCUUUACAGUGACCUUCCUGACAUUCAGGGCCCUCAGAAAGUAUUCCCCCCUAGACUUUCUCUACAUUUUUUGGGGGGUCACAGCCUGAAUUAAAAAAUGGGUUAAGUGUAGAUGUUGUGUCGCUGGCCUGCACACGAUACUCCAUGAUGUCAAAGAUGAAACGUGUUUAUAGACAUUUUUACAAAUUAAUUUUAAAAAAUACAAAUCUGAAAUGCCUCUAGUCAAUAAGUAUUUAACUCCUUUGUUAUGACCUAAAUAAGUUCAGGAGUAAAAAAAAAUAUGCUUAACAAGGCACAUAAUAAGUUGCAUUGACUCACGCUUUGUGCAAUAAUAGUGUUUAACCUGAUGUUUGAGUGACUAUCUCAUUUCUGUUCCCCACACAUACAAUUAUCUGUGAGGUCCCUCAGUCGAGCAGUGAAUUUUAAACACAGAUUCAACCACAAAGACCAGGGACGGCACCUAUUGGUAGAUGGGUCAAAGAAAACACACAAAAAACAGACAAUGAAUAUCCCUUUGAGCAUGGUGGUUAUUAAUUACACUUUGGAUGGUGUAUCAAUACACCCAGUCACUACAAAGAUACAGGUGUCCUUCCUAACUCAGUUGCCAGGGAGGAAGGAAACCGCUCAGAGGUUUCACCAUGAUGUCAAUGGUGAUUUUAAAACAGUUACAGAGUUUAAUGGCUGUGUUAAGAGAAAACGGAUGAUGGAUCAACAACAUUGUAGUUACUCCACAAUACUAACCUAAAUGAUAGAAUGAAAAGAAGGAAGCCUGUACAGAAUAAAAAAUAUUCCAAAACAUGCAUCCUGUUUGCAACAAGGCACAAAAUGAAAACUGUAAAAAAAAAAUGUGGCACAGAAAUGACCUUUAUGUCCUGAAUACAAAGUGUUAUAUUUGGGUCAAAUCCAACACAACACAUCACUGAGUACCACUCUUCAUAUUUUCAAGGAUGGCGGUGGCUGCAUCAUGUUAUGGGUAUACUUGUCAUCGACAAGGACUAGGGAGGAUUUGGGAUGAUUAAAACUAAAUGGAAUAGAGCUCAGCACAGGAGUAAAACCUGGUUCAGACUUCUUAACCAACAAACACUGGGAGACAAAUUCACCUUUCAGAAAAACAACAUUGAAUGUUCCUGAGUCGCCUAGUUACAGUUUUGACUUAAAUCGGCUUGAACAUCUAUGGCAAGACUUUUGAAAAUAAUAAUUGCCAAAUAUUGUACAAUCCAGGUAUGUAAAGCUCUUAGAGACUUACACAGAAAGAGUCACAGCUGUAAUCGCUGCCAACUGUGAUUCUAACACGUAUUGACUCAGGGGGUGUGAAUACUUAUGUAAAUUAGAUUUUGGAAAUUAAUUUUCAAUACAUUUGCAAAAAUGUUUAAAAGAAACAUGUUUUCACCUUGUUAUUGUGGGGUAUUGUGUGUAGAUGGGUGAGAUUUAAAAUAUAUAUAUAUAUAUAUCCAUUUUGAAUUGUAUCUGUAACAACAAACCGUAGUAUAAGUCAAGGAGUAUGAAUACUUUCUGAAGGCCUUCUCCAUAUUAUCUGAGACUGUAAAUGUCACCAAUGUGUGAACAUGGCUAAAUACAAAUCUCAUCUGGAUAUCAUUACCAGAGCCUGGAAAUCCUACUGGUAAUAUCCCAGCCCAGCCCUGUCUGACUGAGGGCUGAAACCUAGGCUGGGAGGGGGCUCAGCUCUGAGACAUAGUAUGAACUGGUUUCCAGAGCAACAUUAAACCAAUAGUGUUUUGUUAGUCAAAGACUAGACGUUAUCUGUGUCUAGGAUACUCCGCCCAAUAACACUGUAACUGGGGGGGGGGGCAAACUCUAAAGGCUGGUUUCCCAGAUACAGAUUCAUCCUAGUUCUGGACUAAAAAAGGUAUUUCUUCAUUGACUAUUGAAUUCUCCAUUAGACCAGGACAAGGCUUAAUCUGUGCCUGGGAAACCAGCCCAAUGACACAGGGUCUGUAUUCCCAGACACCAAUUAAGCCUAUAUUCCUGGACUAAAAAGCUAUUUAAAGAGAGAUUCUUAAAUUUAGCAUGCUUUUUAGUUCAGGACCAGGCUUAAUCUGUGUCCUGGAAACCGGCCCAAUAACACAGUAACUGAAUUUCUUUAUCUCUGGUACAGGCAGCAAGUUUGUGUGUCUAUAUCUCUGGUACAGGCAGCAGGUUUGUGUGUCUAUAUCUCUGGUACAGGCAGCAAGUUUGUGUGUCUAUAUCUCUGGUACAGGCAGAUAGUUCUAUAGUGAGGUGCGGUAGACAGCAGGUUUCAAUAGUGAGGUGCAGUAGACAGCAGGUUUCUAUAGUGAGGUGCAGUAGACAGCAGGUUUCUAUAGUGAGGUGCAGUAGAAAGCAGGUUUCUAUAGUGAGGUGCAGUAGACAGCAGGUUUCUAUAGUGAGGUGCAGUAGACAGCAGGUUUCUAUAGUGAGGUGCAGUAGACAGCCUGCCUAACUGUCUCCUCAGCCUGGAUUGUAACACACCACACUCACUUUUAGCAGUCCAAAGUCAAAUAGUGACUCACAAAUUCCUCUGCUUUUCUUUUUCCAGGGAUCAGACAUUAGGGAGAGGCAGCGUCACCUUUCCUCCUCCCUCCUCCACUCCCUACUUCUGCUCCUGCUAGCCUAACCCAGGCCUAUACAGUAAGUUACUUCUCUCUCUCUAACUACUGUCAACACACACCUCUCGUCUCAACAGUAUAUUCUAUAAGAAUCUCAACCCUCUUUCGCUAACUUCCCUCUUCACAAAUAAUAUACAUUUCAGUUGUACAGUCUGCUUCACAAAUAGCCCCCUAUUCCCUGUGUAGUGCCCUAUGGGGCCUGGUCUAAAGCAGUGCACUAUAGAGGGAAAAGGGUGUAAUUUGGAACGCACGCACAGUUACAACACACCUCCAGCCAGAUCUUUUGGUCUUUCGGGCCCCAGACUGCAAUCAAACGGCAGCCACGCCAAAUGCUUUUUCCGGAGGCCAGGAUUUUUUUCAGCUCCUGUAGCUCUGAUAAAAGUCCUGCCACACUCAAACCCCCUAUAGGCUUCUCACACACACACACACACACACAGCCCCCCGAAGGCCACUGAAAACAUCAAAGCGUUUCUACUGUAAGUCAGCAACACCUUUAAACUGCAGGCGUUGUAAUGCAGAGGUGGAAAGAGGUGGAGACUUAGGGAGGAGAGAGGAUGUGGAGAGAGGAGGUGGAGAGAGGUGGAGAGGAGAGAGGAGGUGGAAAGAGGUGGAGACUUAGGGAGGAGAGAGGAUGUGGAGAGAGGAGGUGGAGAGAGGAGGUGGAGAGAGGUGGAGAGGAGAGAGGAGGUGGAGACUUAGGGAGGAGAGGAUGA